UUGUACCAUAUUUUUAUUUGUUGAUUAGUUCAGUGUCUGUCUUCCCCUACUAGCACUAUAAGCUUCAUAAGAGCAGAGCUUUCCUCUUUUGUACCAUAAUGAUUUCCAGUCCCUGGUAAAAGAAUAAAUAAAUGACAAAUGCUUCAUUUUUGGAGACAUUGCUUUAACUUGUAGAUCUGUUUUUGGCAAUCUGCCUUCUGCCAGAAUGUUAGCAGGCUCCCAACUUACCAUCGUCAUGAGUGAAAAUUUAUGUUCCAAAAUAUAUGUGGGUGUAGCUAUUAUUGCCAUGAAGAAAAAUUUGAAUUUCCUCUCUUUCUGUAAGCACCAUAUUGACAACUAGUGAUAUGCUCUGUGGAAAUUUCUGUCUGUACAGGAUCUCGUUAUUAGUGCUAUUUCAAAUUACUGUUUGAGAAAACAUGAUGACCUCUAUGCAUAAAUGAAGAUCAAAUGUUUAUGCUCCCCGUUGGGUGGGGUUGUACAGAGGGCUGACCGUUUCCCAGUUGAAGCCGCCGCGGGGGUGAAUGUGGAGCCUACAGAUGGGCAGACUGGGUGCCUGACCUUGAGCAGGUCACCUCCACUCCAAGACUGUCUCCCUAACAGAACGAGUGGGAUAAUAAUUUAGACAUCAUCUAAAUAAGGUAUGUGGUAGAUGGCUUGGAUGAAUGACCCUAGUUGUCUCAUGCCUCUCGGGCUGUGCCCUGGAGGCUGCCCUGUCUCACCGCCUAUGAGCUUGGCAGCCCGACUUGCAUUGGUCAACGAGAAAGGGACACCCCGAUGCUCUCGAUGGAAGCAGAGGCUUGGAAAAGUGUGUUUCCACUUGCUGUCUCUUGGACACCACCUCUGCCAUGAGAACACGCAGUGGCUAGCCUGCCGGACGGAGGUGAUGGCCACCUGGGGAAUCGCCGAGGCUGCCCCGACCAGCCAGUGCCCGGCAAGCCUGUCGGGGUGCACAGCAGCUGAGAUUAGCUGAGUCCAGCCCAGAUCAGCAGAACCAACCAAGCGUCCUAUGGGCAGGAUUUUGCUACAAAGAGAGAAAUAAAAAGUGAUCCAAAGCAGGACAGCAUCAUCUGUUGCGGAUAUUGUUGCUUUCAAAAUCCCAUGUCACCAUAAGAAAGCUGAAACUGCGAACUGGAGACGUUUAAUGGCCCAGGUAAUGAGGGCUUCCUGCCCCACGGGAAGGCUGAGUUGAACGGUGCUUUCAGUGGCUGCAUCUUCCAACGCUACCUGGAUGAGCUACGAGGAGAAAGUGUCCAAAAGGAAGAGAUAAAAAGAAAAAGUUACAUUAUCUCUGGCUGUAGGAACCACCAUUCGAAUUAUUCCACCAAGCCCUCGCCCCCGACCCAGGAGCCAAGCCAGAAGCUAUACAUUUAUUUCUACUCCAGGAGAUCCUAAUUUCUAAAGGGAACACUGAAGGUCUGCUAAGGACUUUGUGUGUGUGUGGGGGGGGGGGCUCACAAUC